rnacentral:lncRNA from 1 species
AAUCGUGAGGUCCCCUAUGACACAAGAAAUAAUUAGGGUACCUGGAUCUUUCAGUUUGGGUGGGGCAAUUUGCUGGAAAACUGAGCUAGCCUGCUCAGUUAGGUGGAUUUUUCUUGGUAUUUGUGUCUUUGAUUUUCGUUUCUGUGUACACAGGUCCUUUAAAAAUUUAGCAUAGGUUGGAACUUGCUUAAUGGCAUCGAGAAGAGGUAAGUUUAUCUGAACCUGUUUAAAUAGUUCCAACAUUUCAUUCAUUUUUAUACCCUUCUUAUCAAGAGGC